UACAGAGGGGGCAAGCGUUUGUUCGGAAUUACUGGGCGUAAAGGGCGCGUAGGCGGCCCGCUAAGUCGAACGUGAAAUCCCCGGGCUCAACCCGGGAACUGCGUCCGAUACUGGAAGGCUUGAAUCCGGGAGAGGGAUGCGGAAUUCCAGGUGUAGCGGUGAAAUGCGUAGAUAUCUGGAGGAACACCGGUGGCGAAGGCGGCAUCCUGGACCGGUAUUGACGCUGAGGCGCGAAAGCCAGGGGAGCAAACGGG
rnacentral:rRNA from 1 species